AAGAAAGUAAUACAUCAUGAGGCUAGAAAGGGAAGCUGGAGAUCAGCAUGUAAAGGGCUUCAAAUGCCCAUUAGAAACUGCUCCUCUCACCAUAGCCCAAGAACAUGUCAGCUUUUGACUGUGACUCACAGAAAUCCUGAGACCUUUCUUCAGAACUGCCAUCUACACACGCUUCACCUUAUUCUGGUGGGGAUGCCGCCCUGUCCCCUUAGGCAAGACUGCCCACAGAUACAUCCUCAACUUCAUCUAAUGAGGUUCAGCGCAUGUUAGAAUUUACUGUACUUUUUCAUUUCAUCAUUACCAAGGGCCAUACAAACCCAUGAGUUUCCCUUUGUGAUGCUCUCCUCACACACAGGUGAAGGCGAGCAAUCCCACACCCAUCCCCAUGUGAAGUCACGGAUGUUGUGGUGCGAAGUGGACGCGGAAGCCGUCAGAAUGGCACAUCUACAACAAAGGACAUUUUCAUUUACUUACACACCUCAAGAAUCUCAUCCAAUAACACGGGCAUGAAGCUGCCUUUUCAUUGAAGGACCUGGACUUUCUUCCUAGUCUUAGCAAAGACUAGAUAAAAGCACUAAGCUUAAGGGUCUUCUGGCAAGGUCUGCCUGACAAGAGGCCUAGGCUGCCUGUGGCAGGGGCAGGAUCUGCUGACUACGCUAUUUACUCUGGGCCUUCCUUUCCUUCCCCCCCCACCCUCCCAAUAAAAGGAGUAAACUCAUAAUCCUCUGAGUAAUUCUUCAGUUUGUUCUAACAAUUGCUACAUGCCAGACCCUGUGCUGCAGGAUCGGGGAUUCAAAGACAAAAAUCAAACAAUCUCUAUCCCUAAACCUUACAUUCUUGGGAGAGACAUGGACUUAGAGAAUAUAUGUAACAGACAAGAGAAGUACAAGUUAGUUUAGGGGAAAGGAUCAGGAAAACAUGUAUGUCGAAGAUGGAGCUUUAAAGUGAAGCUGAAGAAAAGAGGAGAUCUGCACAAUAUCAAGUUCAGUGGUCACAUUUUGCAGGUCAGCGAAUUGUCCCGAGUCUUAUCUGGGAAAGUGCCAGAGGUGACCCCUGAAUCCAGGUCUUCUGGCUCUAUCUUUUCUAUGACACCAUGUUGUUUUCUUAUAAUAUCCCCUGGGCAAGACCAAAGAGUUUUUACUAACCAGACCUACAGUCCUUUCUGCUUCCCUGAGAAGGGGUUGGGAAAUGUAACUCAAGUUAGCAGAGCUUCUGGGCUGUUUGGUCCAUGCUGAGGACUCAGGGUCACGGUGUAAUCAAGAUCCCUCUCCCCCAAAACAAGGAGGAAUUAUUCAAAAGCUAUCUUUUCCCCCUUAGUUCCUAAUAAUCUCUUUUUUCAAUCUAUAGUGUUGUUACAUUAGCUAGAGAAAUUACUUUGUUUUUCAUUCUGUACAUAUUUUUACACUGUAUAUACCAGUCUAUGUUCAUAUUAUUUUUGCCCUUCUCCAGGGUAGCAACUAUUUCAUUUUUAAUUCCCCAAAGCCUAACAUGAUCUCUCACAUAGAGUAGAUUCUAAACAAAUGCUUGCAAAAUGAAUAAAUGAUCAUACAAUAUAAUCCUCUGGUAGAAAUAUUCAUGAAUCAAUCUAAAUUUUCUUGAAAUUUUUCUUGGAAGAAAAGAACAAUAAGAAAAUGUUUCACCUGCACUAAAGUCACUAAUCUGAAUAAGCCCUUCAAUGAUUAAGUACUUCUUACAUGCUGGCAAUAUGUUCAGCUUUUUACUAGAUUUAAGGGGAGAAGUAAGACCUUCUGACAUAAAGGCUCUCCCUCUUAUAAUCCUUGUGUGGGAGACAAGACCGAUGCAUGUAUGGCCAAAACAAUUUACAAACAACAGGUUGACCAGAAGUGUUUCCAAAGCAAUUUUAACAUCUAAAAAUAUGAACACUAGAUGGGUCCCAAAGUUUUCAAUUUAUAUAUUUGAAAAACCAAGAGAAAGCAAAAUAAAGAAUCCCUAAGUAGUCCUCCAAAAAUAAGAGCACAAAAUAUUAUACAAGUAACUCAAUAUUUGGUUUAGAAGAUACUAUAUAUUGCAAGAAAAACAUGUUUGAUGCUCAUAGAAUCCAUGUAUAAAUGUAUACCAAAAAAUAACAUUACAUUUUAAGGAUAUCUCAUAAGAGGCUGACAUUUGUU